CAGCCGCCGCGGUAAUACGUAGGGUGCGAGCGUUAAUCGGAAUUACUGGGCGUAAAGCGUGCGCAGGCGGUGAUGUAAGACAGUUGUGAAAUCCCCGGGCUCAACCUGGGAACUGCACCUGUGACUGCAUCGCUGGAGUGCGGCAGAGGGGGAUGGAAUUCCGCGUGUAGCAGUGAAAUGCGUAGAUAUGCGGAGGAACACCGAUGGCGAAGGCAAUCCCCUGGGCCUGCACUGACGCUCAUGCACGAAAGCGUGGGGAGCAAACAGGAUUAGAUACCCCGGUAGUCCCUGUCUCUUAUAU
rnacentral:rRNA from 1 species